CGGCAACAGCUCAAAUUUGAAAUCUGGCUCUUCUAGGGUCCGAGUUGUAAUUUGUAGAAGAUGCUUCGGGUGUGGCUCCGGUCUAAGUUCCUUGGAACAGGACGUCAUAGAGGGUGAGAAUC
rnacentral:rRNA from 1 species